GACGAACGCUGGCGGCGUGCUUAACACAUGCAAGUCGAACGGAAAGGCCCUGCUUUUGUGGGGUGCUCGAGUGGCGAACGGGUGAGUAACACGUGAGUAACCUGCCCUUGACUUUGGGAUAACUUCAGGAAACUGGGGCUAAUACCGGAUAGGAGCUCCUGCUGCAUGGUGGGGGUUGGAAAGUUUCGGCGGUUGGGGAUGGACUCGCGGCUUAUCAGCUUGUUGGUGGGGUAGUGGCUUACCAAGGCUUUGACGGGUAGCCGGCCUGAGAGGGUGAACGGCCACAUGGGGACUGAGAGACGGCCCAGACUCCUACGGGAGGCAGCAGGGGGGAAUAUGGCAGAAUGGGCGGAAGCCUGAGGCAGCAACGCCGCGUGCGGGAUGACGGCCUUCGGGUUGUAAACCGCUUUCGCCUGUGACGAAGCGUGAGUGACGGUAAUGGGUAAAGAAGCACCGGCUAACUACGUG
rnacentral:rRNA from 1 species